UCCAGAGAUGGAUUGGUGCCUUCGGGAACUGUGAGACAGGUGCUGCAUGGCUGUCGUCAGCUCGUGUUGUGAAAUGUUGGGUUAAGUCCCGCAACGAGCGCAACCCUUAUCCUUUGUUGCCAGCGGUCCGGCCGGGAACUCAAAGGAGACUGCCAGUGAUAAACUGGAGGAAGGUGGGGAUGACGUCAAGUCAUCAUGGCCCUUACGAGCAGGGCUACACACGUGCUACAAUGGCAUAUACAAAGAGAAGCGACC
rnacentral:rRNA from 1 species